GACGAACGCUGGCGGCGUGCCUAAUACAUGCAAGUCGAGCGGACCGACGGGAGCUUGCUCCCUUAGGUCAGCGGCGGACGGGUGAGUAACACGUGGGUAACCUGCCUGUAAGACUGGGAUAACUCCGGGAAACCGGGGCUAAUACCGGAUGCUUGAUUGAGCCGCAUGGUUCAAUUAUAAAAGGUGGCUUUCAGCUACCACUUACAGAUGGACCCGCGGCGCAUUAGCUAGUUGGUGAGGUAACGGCUCACCAAGGCGACGAUGCGUAGCCGACCUGAGAGGGUGAUCGGCCACACUGGGACUGAGACACGGCCCAGACUCCUACGGGUGGCUG
rnacentral:rRNA from 1 species